UUUACACAUGUUAAGUUUGCUGAAAAUAAACGCAGUUGACAGUGAGAGGACGUUUCUUUUUUUGCUGAGUUUAGGUUUGUAUUAUUUCCUGAACUAUAUUCUGUCCCAUAUAUUGUAUAUUGUUUCCAUAAAGCCAACAUGGUUUUACACUUAAGUUUCCAAUCUAGAGCAGUUCUCACUUUUGUGAGAAUGAACUAGCUAACAUUAGCUUCGUUGACACCAACUAACCAACUAAGGACGGUGACCUGUCCAGACGAGAUGUUGCAACGAACUUAAUCGGUCAAUGGAGGGCUUCCUCUUUAUAAAGCCUGCUACAGCAUGCAAUACUAUUGUGAACUCACAAGGUAGCAUAACAUUACAUGUACAAUACUAUCCCAUUUUGGAAAGGUUACAUGUAUGCCCCCMUGUGGAGGGAAAUGAAUAGCUUAGAUGGUAGCUAUAGAUUCAAAGCAUAAUGGUAUUAGUAGUGACUAGACCUCUUUUGUAUACAUGCAUGCCCUUCAGAAUCCAAACACAGUAUUGCCACUCAGCAAAAUGUUGCGUAUAAUCUUUCAAGCCUGUAUGGCAGUACUGUAUUGGCUAGUGCUUUCUCCAAUAUGUUAUUCUAUUUUGCAUUCAAUUGUCUCAACAGGUCUCUCUUGGAAAAUAAAUGUUAUCUUAAUGAGAAAAAACCUGUAUAAAUAAAGGUAAAAUAAAUUAAAAUCAAAUUGUAUGUCGAUGCCAUUUGUCUUUCAAUAUUUUUUAAAUAUAUAUACAUAUUUUUAAUGCUUGUAAGACUACUCUUUCACACAUUUUCUCUUCCUUUGAAAUUCUUAUAGGACAGAACAUGGACACAAUGSAAUUGGGAUCAAGAAGAAGGACUCGAGACCACAGCAGCGAUCCUGCUCUUGCCCUACCUCUUCAAUGAGGACCCGAGUGGCCUUUAUGUCCGUAACAAGAUUUCACCGCUCCCCACUCUUUUACUGCACAUCGGCGGAAAUCCAUUUCACCAUGAGAGUGAAAUCCCGCUGGCCUUUGAUGGGGAGAACAUGCACGCCCUAGAGGACAUCCCCAAUGGGACUUGGGGCUCUGCUAGGGCUUUUAUUUUCAGUUAAAUUUCCCCAACAUUUCUGAAAAACACUUAUAUUCUUAAGUUACUGUGUUCUGGGGAUAAUAGACGUUGGGGUGAAGUUACCAGGGUCGGUCAUAAAGAUGGCAAACUUCCUAACAUAACUAAGUGGUUUAGGACACAGACACACACUAAAGCAAAAACAUCUGUAUUUAGCAUCAAGUCUACAAUAUUGUUAGUUUACCUAUGAUUCAUUUUUAAUGUAUCUUGUUUUUAUUGUAAAUCAUUAUUUCAAAAAAAAAAAAUUGUAAUGGAAAGCACUAUACAAAGUAAAUGUAUUAUUUACUAUGGUCUGACAUGUCUGUAGAAAUGUUGCAAUUGUUUAAUGUGUUUUGUUUGGUAAAUUGUUUUGUAAAUAUUAAUUCACAUUUGUG